GUUCUUUUUCUUCAUAGAUUUCAUAAACUUUAUAGAGUUUCAGAGAUUUCAGGAAGUUUAUAGAGUUGGUUUCAUCUGCGAUGAAGAUACUGGAAGUUAUAUUGACAUUGAAGUCCUCUAAAGAACACCAUGCAACACGAUGGCCAAACAAGAUUUAUGCAGUUCUCGCAGUCCAGCAGGCAAAGCUGAAAACAAAGAUGAUCAAGACAAAUCAAGAUGAUUUCGCAUGGAAAGGGAAGUUCGUCUUCCAGGUCGAAGAUUUUUUUCUCAUAAAACCGGAUGCAUUCCUGAAUCUCAAAAUCUACCGCCCGCGCCGACUGCUCAGCAAUGAGCUUUUGGGUUAUGCAAGAACCCCAGCGAGCGGUGUGAUGAGAUUCGAGGGUUGGAGUUUCUCUUCCUUGCCUGUGAGCGGCCUGUCCGACAUGCCUCUAGGCCUCGUCAACUUCGGUCUGGUUCUGUGGCCUGCACGACACGCUACGAUGGAGUUUUUCAAGGAAAAGGGAGGGAUGGAGAUCUAUGGAUUAUAGGUAGUCCACAAGAGGGAUGGAUGGAUGGAUCUUGAAGGGAAGGAGAGAGAUGGAGCUCUACGGAUUAUAGGUAGUCCACAAGAGGGAUGGAUCACAUGAAAGAGCUAGUAGUUAUUAUCUUCUCUAAUAGUUUGCGUCAAAGUUCCUGUAAAUCUUUUCUUUUUCGUUCUUUUGUAGUUAUUCUUAUGCAUAAGGAAAGUAGUAAAUUUUAUUUGUUUUUCUUUCAC